rnacentral:rRNA from 1 species
UACGUAGGCAGCAAGCGUUGUUCGGAGUUACUGGGCGUAAAGGGUGCGUAGGCGGCCUUAUAAGUAUGGUGUGAAAUCUCCCGGCUUAACUGGGAGGGUGCGCUAUAGACUGUGGGGCUAGAGUGUGGGAGAGGAAAGUGGAAUUCCUGGUGUAGCGGUGAAAUGCGUAGAUAUCAGGAGGAACACCGGUGGUGUAAACGGCUUUCUGGACCGUAACUGACGCUGAGACACGAAAGCGUGGGUAGCAAACAGG